UUUCAGAAGAGGAUUGCCAGUCAAGACUUUGAAGUUGCUAGUUUCUGUGCUUUGGAAUUUGGUGAAGAGGAUUUCCAGUCAAGACUUUGAAGUUGCCAGUUUCUGUGCUUCGUACCUUGCUGGUUUCUGAAGGGGAUUACCAGUGAAGACAUUUUGAUGUUGCCAGUUUCUGUGCUUUGGACUUCGCUGGUUUCUGAAGGGGAUUACCAGUGAAGACAUUUUGAUGUUGCCAGUUUCUGUGCUUUGGAAUUUGCUGAAGAGGAUUGCCAGUCAAGACUUUGAAGUUGCCAGUUUCUUUGCUUUGAACUUUGCUGGUUUCUGAAGGGGAUUACCAGUGAAGACAUUUUGAUGUUGCCAGUUUCUGUGCUUUGGA